GACGAACGCUGGCGGCGUGCCUAAUACAUGCAAGUUGAGCGCUGAAGGUUGGUACUUGUACCGACUGGAUGGGCAGCGAACGGGUGAGUAACGCGUGGGGAAUCUGCCUUUGAGCGGGGGACAACAUUUGGAAACGAAUGCUAAUACCGCAUAAAAACUUUAAACACAAGUUUUAAGUUUGAAAGAUGCAAUUGCAUCACUCAAAGAUGAUCCCGCGUUGUAUUAGCUAGUUGGUGAGGUAAAGGCUCACCAAGGCGAUGAUACAUAGCCGACCUGAGAGGGUGAUCGGCCACAUUGGGACUGAGACACGGCCCAAACUCCUACGGGAGGCAGCAGUAGGGAAUCUUCGGCAGUGGACGAAAGUCUGACCGAGCAACGCCGCGUGAGUGAAGAAGGUUUUCGGAUCGUAAAACUCUGUUGGUAGAGAAGAACGUUGGUGAGAGUGGAAAGCUCAUCAAGUGACGGUAACUACCCAGAAAGGGACGGCUAACUACGUG
rnacentral:rRNA from 1 species